rnacentral:snRNA from 1 species
AGCUUUGCGCAUACACGAUACCGUAACUGAUGAGGAUUAUCCGAGGCGUGGUUAUUGCUAGUUGAAAACUAAACUAAAUCUCCUAUUGAACUGUAAAUGGUGGCCACCGAGGAAACAGUCAGUGAGUCAAUUUUAAUCACUUCAGAU